UCUAAAUGCCAACACUACUGUCCAAGAAUGCAAUGAGCCUGUUGGUGCUGAAUGGGGAUUUGACUUUUCUCCAUUUGAUUCUAUUGUGGAUGACCCUCUAGAUGAUAGCAAGUCUUUCAAAAGCCCUAUUGAUGUUAUCGGUUUUGUGGUCAAGUGUCUUCCGUCAGAUGAUAAGAGUGAUAAUAAUAACGUCAAAGACGAGAAGAAGACAACCUUUAUUUUGGAAGAUUUGCAACACCAUCAGAUUUACGUCACGUUAUGGGGUUGUUAUGCUGAUCAGAUUUUGGAUUUUGAGAAAAACAAUAAGGACGAAAAGAAUGUUGUGGUUG